rnacentral:lncRNA from 13 species
GUUAUUUUAAAAUAUUGAAUAUAUUAAAGAAUAUGUUAAAGGCCUACCUGUCAACAUUAGUAUCUAAAUCACUGAGAGUUUUAUUCUAUUGUUUGAUUUUUUUUUUCUCUCUUUUUGCUGUCUUCUGGUAUUGCUUGAAAUUUUUUAUUGAUGCUGAUACAUUGUGUUUGAUACAUUCCAGAAAUUCUUAUCUUCCUUCAAAUGGCUAGUUACUCUCGCUUCUAUGAAGCAUUGAGAAUAAAAAGUCAUUACCUCAAUUUUAUUAUGAAUUGUACCGUUUCAAGGUAUCCUUUCAUUCCUUACUUCCUGCUUAUUUCUUGUCCCAACCCGUGGGAGGAGCAAUGGAGACCCUAGGGAGGGAGUGGGGAUUAAAAGAGAGAGACAGGAGACACGGAGAAUGGAGACAAGUCAAGGAUCUGAUCAAGUGUCGUUUAUUAGCUACAAGGCGGUGGCUUAUAAACAAGUAAGGGCAGGAAGUUCUGAGGGCUGAGGUCAUAGAGUAUCCAUGGAGAUGAGGCUGCAGGCUAUGUGAAACUUAAACAAUAAGGGAAGCCCACAAGAUGGAGGUUUAGGAACUGAAGAUUUUUGGAGUAAAAGUCCAAUGCUCCAAGUACAUGUAAGGAAACAUCCAUGGAAGAGACAUUUUUUUGUAAUGGAAGGGAAGCAGAAAUUGAUGAGCCAUUUGCUCAAGAAGUGGCCAGUGGAAAAGUGGCUCCCUAAGUAUGUAAAAAUGUAAAUAUAUUACUGGCAGCUGGGAAGUCCAAUAUCAAGAUGCCCGCAGGUUUAAUGCCUGUCUGGUGAGGGCCUGUGUCUGCUCCCAAGAUGACAUCUUGAAUGCCACCCUGCUCCUGCUCCUCACAAGACAGAAGAGCAGAAGAACCAAGAGACAAAAAGGGACUGAACUAGCCCUUCUAGAAUGCAGUAAUCCCACCCAUGAAGAUUUUGCAGUGUCUUCUAUGUAUAGCAUCAUCUGCAUGUCUUCUGAAAACAGAGACAAUUUAACUUCUAAAAGCUGCCAACAAAGAAAAGCCCAAGAACAGAUGGCUCUAUGGGUGACAUCUACCAAGCAUUUAAAGAAUUAGCAAUUCUCACACUCUUUCAGGAAAUUGAAGAAGAGGGGAACACUUCCAAACCCAUUUUAUAAGACCUGGAUUACCCUCAAACCAAAGCCAGAAAAGGACACUACAAGACGAUAAAACACAGGCCAAUAUUCCUGGUGAACAUAGAUGCAAAAUUUCUCAACAAAACACCAGCAAACCCAAUUCAGCAGUACAUUAAAACAAUCAAAUACCAUGGCCAACAGAAAUUUUUUCUUCCCUAAGAUGCAAGGAUAUUUCACAUAUGUAAAUCAAUAAACG